rnacentral:rRNA from 1 species
GACGAACGCUGGCGGCGUGCCUAAUACAUGCAAGUAGAACGCUGAAGAGAGGAGCUUGCUCUUCUUGGAUGAGUUGCGAACGGGUGAGUAACGCGUAGGUAACCUGCCUUGUAGCGGGGGAUAACUAUUGGAAACGAUAGCUAAUACCGCAUAACAAUGGAUGACACAUGGCAUUUAUUUGAAAGGGGCAAUUGCUCCACUACAAGAUGGACCUGCGUUGUAUUAGCUAGUAGGUGAGGUAAUGGCUCACCUAGGCGACGAUACAUAGCCGACCUGAGAGGGUGAUCGGCCACACUGGGACUGAGACACGGCCCAGACUCCUACGGGAGGCAGCAGUAGGGAAUCUUCGGCAAUGGGGGCAACCCUGACCGAGCAACGCCGCGUGAGUGAAGAAGGUUUUCGGAUCGUAAAGCUCUGUUGUAAGUCAAGAACGGGUGUGAGAGUGGAAAGUUCACACUGUGACGGUAGCUUACCAGAAAGGGACGGCUAACUACGUG